rnacentral:rRNA from 1 species
GCGCGAUACAGGGUGACAGCCCCGUACACAAAAGCGCAUGUGCUGUGAGCUCGAUGAGUAGGGCGGGACACGUGGUAUCCUGUCUGAAUAUGGGGGGACCAUCCUCCAAGGCUAAAUACUCCUGACUGACCGAUAGUGAACCAGUACCGUGAGGGAAAGGCGAAAAGAACCCCGGCGAGGGGAGUGAAAAAGAACCUGAAACCGUGUACGUACAAGCAGUGGGAGCACCCUUCGGGGUGUGACUGCGUACCUUUUGUAUAAUGGGUCAGCGACUUAUAUUCUGUAGCAAGGUUAACCGUAUAGGGGAGCCGGAGGGAAACCGAGUCUUAACCGGGCGUUAAGUUGCAGGGUAUAGACCCGAAACCCGGUGAUCUAGCCAUGGGCAGGUUGAAGGUUGGGUAACACUAACUGGAGGACCGAACCGACUAAUGUUGAAAAAUUAGCGGAUGACCUGUGGCUGGGGGUGAAAGGCCAAUCAAACCGGGAGAUAGCUGGUUCUCCCCGAAAGCUAUUUAGGUAGCGCCUCGUGAAUUCAUCUCCGGGGGUAGAGCACUGUUUCGGCUAGGGGGCCAUCCCGGCUUACCAACCCGAUGCAAACUGCGAAUACCGGAGAAUGUUAUCACGGGAGACACACGGCGGGUGCUAACGUCCGUCGUGAAGAGGGAAACAACCCAGACCGCCAGCUAAGGUCCCAAAGUCAUGGUUAAGUGGGAAACGAUGUGGGAAGGCCCAGACAGCCAGGAUGUUGGCUUAGAAGCAGCCAUCAUUUAAAGAAAGCGUAAUAGCUCACUGGUCGAGUCGGCCUGCGCGGAAGAUGUAACGGGGCUAAACCAUGCACCGAAGCUGCGGCAGCGAACGUAUCACCCAAGACAACUUUACGGAGUUGACGAUUGACGGAGCGAAGCGACGUCAAAGCGUUCAUUAAAGUCGAGUUGGCUUAGGGAUACGUUCGUUGGGUAGGGGAGCGUUCUGUAAGCCUGUGAAGGUGUGUCGUGAGGCAUGCUGGAGGUAUCAGAAGUGCGAAUGCUGACAUAAGUAACGAUAAAGCGGGUGAAAAGCCCGCUCGCCGGAAGACCAAGGGUUCCUGUCCAACGUUAAUCGGGGCAGGGUGAGUCGACCCCUAAGGCGAGGCCGAAAGGCGUAGUCGAUGGGAAACGGGUUAAUAUUCCCGUACUUGGUGUUACUGCGAAGGGGGGACGGAGAAGGCUAUGUUGGCCGGGCGACGGUUGUCCCGGUUUAAGCGUGUAGGUGUGUGUUCCAGGUAAAUCCGGUUCACUUUAACACUGAGGCGUGACGACGAGGCACUACGGUGCUGAAGCAACAAAUGCCCUGCUUCCAGGAAAAGCCUCUAAGCAUCAGGUAACAUCAAAUCGUACCCCAAACCGACACAGGUGGUCAGGUAGAGAAUACCAAGGCGCUUGAGAGAACUCGGGUGAAGGAACUAGGCAAAAUGGUGCCGUAACUUCGGGAGAAGGCACGCUGACACGUAGGUGAAGUGAUUUACUCAUGGAGCUGAAGUCAGUCGAAGAUACCAGCUGGCUGCAACUGUUUAUUAAAAACACAGCACUGUGCAAACACGAAAGUGGACGUAUACGGUGUGACGCCUGCCCGGUGCCGGAAGGUUAAUUGAUGGGGUCAGCGCAAGCGAAGCUCCUGAUCGAAGCCCCGGUAAACGGCGGCCGUAACUAUAACGGUCCUAAGGUAGCGAAAUUCCUUGUCGGGUAAGUUCCGACCUGCACGAAUGGCGUAAUGAUGGCCAGGCUGUCUCCACCCGAGACUCAGUGAAAUUGAACUCGCUGUGAAGAUGCAGUGUACCCGCGGCAAGACGGAAAGACCCCGUGAACCUUUACUAUAGCUUGACACUGAACAUUGAGCCUUGAUGUGUAGGAUAGGUGGGAGGCUUUGAAGUGUGGACGCCAGUCUGCAUGGAGCCGACCUUGAAAUACCACCCUUUAAUGUUUGAUGUUCUAACGUGGACCCGUAAUCCGGGUUGCGGACAGUGUCUGGUGGGUAGUUUGACUGGGGCGGUCUCCUCCUAAAGAGUAACGGAGGAGCACGAAGGUUGGCUAAUCCUGGUCGGACAUCAGGAGGUUAGUGCAAUGGCAUAAGCCAGCUUGACUGCGAGCGUGACGGCGCGAGCAGGUGCGAAAGCAGGUCAUAGUGAUCCGGUGGUUCUGAAUGGAAGGGCCAUCGCUCAACGGAUAAAAGGUACUCCGGGGAUAACAGGCUGAUACCGCCCAAGAGUUCAUAUCGACGGCGGUGUUUGGCACCUCGAUGUCGGCUCAUCACAUCCUGGGGCUGAAGUAGGUCCCAAGGGUAUGGCUGUUCGCCAUUUAAAGUGGUACGCGAGCUGGGUUUAGAACGUCGUGAGACAGUUCGGUCCCUAUCUGCCGUGGGCGCUGGAGAACUGAGGGGGGCUGCUCCUAGUACGAGAGGACCGGAGUGGACGCAUCACUGGUGUUCGGGUUGUCAUGCCAAUGGCACUGCCCGGUAGCUAAAUGCGGAAGAGAUAAGUGCUGAAAGCAUCUAAGCACGAAACUUGCCCCGA